GCAUCUAGAAUGGUGAAUUCUUUUUAGAAGGUCUUUCAAUUUACUUUGCCCAGAUCCCUUAGAGAGAUUACUAUCUAUGGCAGCUAUACCCAUAUGAAAUGUAUUUUUUUAUUUUUAUUUUUUUUAGGGCCACACCUGUGGCAUAUGGAGAUUCCCAGGCUGGGGGUCUAAUCAGAGCUGAAGCUGCUGGCCUACACCGUUGGCACAGUAAUGCGGGAUCUGAGCUGCAUCUGUGACCUAUACCAUAGCUCACAGCAAUGCCGGAUCCUUAACCCACUGAGCAAGGCCAGGGAUCUAACCUGUGUCCUCAUGGAUGCUAAUUGGGUUCAUUGACCACUGAGCCACAACGGGAACUCCUGAAAUGUAUUUCUUAAGUAACAGUACUUGAAAGUCAAAAUUAUGCCUUAAUUCAUAGGUUGUAGAAUGGAUGUUGUGUUAGCAGGCAUAGCGUUAAUCUUAUUGUUCAUCUCCAUUAGAGCUCUUGGGUGAUUAGGUACAUUGUCAAUGAGCAGUCAUAUUUUGAAAGGAAUCUUUUAUUCUGAGCAGUAGGUAUCAAUGGUGGCCUUAAAAGAUUCAGUAAAUACGUUGUAAGGAAAUAUACUGUCAUUCAGGCUUUGGUGUUCCAUUUAUAGAGCACAGGAAGAAUAGAUUUAGCAUAAUUCUUAAAGGCCCUAGGAUUUAUGGAAUGAUAAAUGAGCAUUGGCUUCAACUUAAAGUCACCACCUGCUGCAUUAGCCCCUAACAAGAGAGUCAGCCUGUCCUUUGUAACUUUGAAGCCAGGCAUUGACUUCUCCUCUCUAGCUAUAAAAGUCCUACAUGGCAUCUUCUUCAAUAUAAGUCUGCUUCAUCUAUAUGGAAAAUCUGUUGUUUAGGGUAGUUAUCUUCAUUAAUUAUCUUAGCUAGAUCUUCUGGGUGACUUACUGCAGCUUCUGUAUCAGUGCUUGCUGCUUCACCUUGCACUAUGUUAUGGAGAAGGCUUAUUUCCUUAAGACUCAUGAACAAAUUUCUUCUAGCAUCAAACUUUUCUUCUGAAGUUUCUUCACUUCUCUCAGCCUUUGUAGAAUUGAAGGGAUUUAAGGAUUUGCUAUGGAUUAGGUUUUAACUUAAGGGAAUGUUAUAGCUUAUUUGAUCUUCUAUCUAGACCACUACAAUUUUUUUUUUUCCAUCUCAACAAUAAGGCUGUUUUAUUUCCUUACCAUUCAUGUGUUCACUGGAGUAGCACAUUGAAUUUCCUUUAAAAACUUGUCCUUUGCAUUCACCACUUGGCUAACUGUUUGGUGCAAAAGGCCUAGUUUUUAGCCUAUUUUGGCUUUCAAUAUGCCCUUCAUCCUAAUUAAUUUUUAUUUCUAACUUUUGAUUUAAAGUGAGAGAUAUAUAGCUGUUCAUUUGAACACUUAGGGACCAUUGUAGGGCUAUUAAUUUGUCUAAUUUGAUUAUUGCUGUGUCUCAAUGAAUGGGGGAGAGAGAGAGAGAGAGAGAUAGAGGAAUAGCUGAUCAGCAGAGCAGUCUGAGUACACAUUUAUUAAUUUUUAUGUCUUAUAUGGGCACCUCAGGGUAUUACAAUAGUAACGUCAAAGAUCACAGAUUACAGAUCACCAUAAAAAUAUAAUAACAAAGAAAAAUUUGAAAUACUGCAAGAAUAACCAAAAUGUGACACAGAGACACAAAGUGAGGAAAUGCUAUUGGAAAAAAUGGCUUCUAUAGAUUUGUUCACAUGCAGAGUUACUAUGGACCUUCAAUUUGUAAAAAACACAGUAUCUGGGGAGUUCCCGUCAUAGCGCAGUGGUUAACAAAUCUGACUAGGAAUCUUGAGGUUGCGGGUUCAAUCCCUGGUCUUGCUCAGUGGGCUGGGGAUCUGGCAUUGCCGUGAGCUGUGGUGUGGGUUGCAGAUGCGGCUCGGAUCCCACGUUGCUGUGGCGGCUGCAGCUCCGAUUGGACCCCUAGCCUGGGAACCUCCAUAUGCCGUGGGAGCGGCCCUAGAAAAGACAAAAAAAACACAGUAUCUGUAGAGUACAAUAAAGUGAAGAGUAAUAAAAUAAGACAUAGUAGACACUAUUGAUUAUACUAGAGAAAAAAAUGUAAACCAGGAUUCACCAGUGGCACAUCGGAUUAUUCUACUGAUAGGACAAGUAAGAAAAGGAUUGGGAAAUCACUCCUGAAUUUAACAGUAUGAAGUACAUUUGUGAUGUUAAUGAAAGCAGUUUUGAUGGGGAGAUAAGGUGUAACAUGUGACUAAAAUGGGUUUAAAAUAAAUAAAGAGAACUUGGAGACAACAAAAUUAGCCAACUCUUUAGAGAGGUCAUUGUGAUGUGGUGAUGUAAGAAUCAAACUGCAGCUAUUGGGGAGGUAGGGGAAAUAAAAUAUUUGUUGUUUAAGAUGGGAGAAUUCAUAGUAUGUUUGUAUGGUGGUAGAUGAUACAAUAGAGAAGGAAAAAUUGACAAUUAGAAGAGAGAGGAGAGAUGAGAGAAUUGCUAGAGCAAAGUCCCUGAGUAACUUGCGAAUGGUUGGGACAUAUUGGUAACAUGAGUUGGAAAUCUGAGGGGUUUUGUGAUGAAUGAUGUAAGUAAGAAUAAAGAGCAUUAAAACAUUUGGUGGUAAAUGACAAAUAUCCCCCAAAUAUCAGGCCGUAAUCCUUGGGAUCUGUAAAUAUUAUUACAUAUAGCAAAGGAUAUGAAUAAGUUAAGGAUUUGGGGAUGAGAGAUUAUCCUGGAUUAUCUAAGUGGAUCCUAAACAUAACUGCUUGGGUCGUUAUCAGAGAAAGACAAGAAAUUUCAUAUAGACACAUGGAGAAGGCUAUGUGAGAAUGAGGGCAGAAAUUGGAGUGAUGUGACCAUCUGCCAAGGGAUGCAGGUUGCCACGUCUUACUUAUGUAUGUGUCUCACUCCUGGCCUAGGGUGACUGAAAGGUCAGACUGACUGGGCAUCUUCCAUUCUUCAUGCUGCUUUCUUUCUUGCUGGCUUAGAUUUCCUCAUAGUAUGCCAGUUUAAUGAAAGUUGGGCUUUUUACAUAGAGCUUGGCUUUCCCCGGAGUGUGCAUUCCAAGAGGAGUUGGCAGAAGGCUUCUUAUGAUCCAAGAUUAGAAGUUUCAAAAAAAAAAAACAUUUAUGCAUCACAUUGGUCAGGCAACUAAGCUAGCCCAAGGCAAGUGGAAUUAGACCCCACCUCUCCGUGAAAGAAGUAGAAAAGGAUAUGUGGCAAUUUUUAAUCUACCACACAUACCAAAGAAAAGGAUGUGAGAUACACUUAUAUUUCAGAGGAGAAAUAUGAGAAAACAGAGAAUAAAUAACAGCAUUUCUGAAAUCAAUGAAGGAGUUUCCAGAAGUAAUUAGGUUUGUUAUUGGAAAGUUAAUCGAAUAUCUUAAAGUAAGUUUGUCUACCUGAACUGAGGGAGAAAGUACAGAAUUACAGCACUGAAGACAAUUGAUACACUUAGUUCUUUCUCCCUGAGAAUGUAAAAUUCUAUUUAUAUAUAGAUACUUGAGGAAUCAAUUUAUAUGAUUGAUUAAUUGUUAUAAGAUUCAAUAUUUGUAGCCAAUGCAAUAUCUAUAUCAUUUUCAUUUUAAUAAGUUAAACUUAUGUUAUCUUUUUAGUUGACUUAAGUGACCAUUUAGUUUGUCAAAUAAAGGACAACUCCGAAAUAUCUUUAGUGAAUUCAAUCAAGACUACCGCUCAUGGAGCCUUCUGGUAUGUGAAGUGUGUGUGUAUAGGAGGUGGUGAAAAAGUGGAUCAGAUUUGCAUAGGAACACAAUAGUUUUCUGAGUGAAAGGGAUUAAGAUCCCAAUUAUCUCUCAAUUAGCUUCAAAAUUAUUAAAAUCCAUCAGAUGGACUAGGAUCUUAGGAAAAAGCAGUGAGUACUUUGAAAUAAAAUUACUUAAAAGAAAAAAGAAAGGAUGAGUCUGGGCUGAUGAUCAGAUGACCAGAGAUCUAGAUGAAAGGCUUCAAGACUAAAUGAAAGUAUGAUGUCUUUGACCUUCAAUGUAACUUGUGCUUGAAACUCCUCCACACAUCGGCCCAGCCACUGUGCAUGCCCUUAUCUGUGGAGGACCUUGGUUGACUCUAGGCAUAUAAAUCAACAAACAAGCCUGAAAUCCAACAACCUUGACCCCAAGAGAGUAGGAAUGUCUUUUUUUCAAAGACCCCAGACUGUGCAGGAACCUGGACAAGUGAGGCUCCACUACAGAGAGAACUGGAACUUCCAGGCAAGUAUCAUCAUCUACAGGACAGUGGAAAAGCAAUUCAGAGUCUUCUGAAGCCCAGAGACCUCUCUGAUGGGAGUAAAAGUCAGAAAAUCCUCCAUCUUUUGGAUUAGUUAAGCCCCAGGGCUCUAGAAAAUUGGGGAAUAUGGGGGAUUUAGAAUACAAAUAGUUUUUCAGCUUUGAAGUAUUUUAGUAUGUGAGAUUGAGGAUGCUCAGUUUUUGUUGCUGUUAUUUAAGUUCAGUUUAGUUUAAUUUAGUUCAUUAUCUCAUUUGCACGCAGUUUGUGAAUAGCCAAUUACAAAAGCAUAAACGAGGGAGGGAGAAAAGGAGAGUAACAGAGAAUCACAGAGACUGGGCAGACAGAUAAAAAGAGACAGAGACAAAGAAAGAAACUACAGAUAAUUUUCUUUCAAAAUUGUUAAGAAAAACAUUUUGCUCCAUAUUUAAACUUGAUCUAGACCAGUAUCAUUUGAAUUUUAUGUUUGAAAGAGAAAGUUAAAAUUUCAUAAUUUUCCUUUCUAUUUCUGGUAUAUAACCUCUGAGACCUUCUUAAAUUAUAAUAAAUAUGAUUAUGCUGAGGAAAGUAUAAGAACCAGUUGGUUGAUGCUUUAUCCUAAAUUACCUUGCAGUGUUCUUGGUAUUGUUACUAAUUUAAAAGUAUAAGUGAGUCUUACCUCUGUAGAUCACUGGCUUUUUGAAGGCAAUGAUUUUUUUCACUAUAGCUUCUAACAGGAUUUCAAUAAACAUCUAUGAAAUGGCAAA
rnacentral:lncRNA from 1 species